rnacentral:rRNA from 1 species
AGCAGCCGCGGUAAUUCCAGCUCCAAUAGCGUAUAUUAAAGUUGUUGCAGUUAAAAAGCUCGUAGUUGAAUUUCGGAAUUCUUUUAUCGGUUGAAUCAACAGGUUCGUACUGAUUUUAAGAAUUUCUACCUUCUGGAGAACCUUAAUGUCAUUAAUUUGGUGUUUUGGGAAACCAGGACUGUUACCUUGAAAAAUUAGAGUGUUUAAAGCAGGCUUAUGUCUGAAUAUAUUAGCAUGGAAUAAUGAAAUAGGACGGCAUGGUUCUAUUUUGUUGGUUUCUAGGAUCACCGUAAUGAUUAAUAGGGAUAGUUGGGGGCAUUAGUAUUCAAUUGUCAGAGGUGAAAUUCUUGGAUUUAUUGAAGACUAACUUCUGCGAAAGCAUUUGCCAAGGAUGUUUUCAUUAAUCAAGAACGAAAGUUAGGGGAUCGAAGACGAUCAGAUACCGUCGUA